rnacentral:rRNA from 1 species
CAAAUCUUGACAUCCUUUGACAACUCUAGAGAUAGAGUCUUCCCCUUCGGGGGACAAAGUGACAGGUGAUGCAUGGUUGUCGUCAGCUCGUGUCGUGAGAUGUUGGGUUAAGUCCCGCAACGAGCGCAACCCUUAAGCUUAGUUGCCAGCAUUAAGUUGGGCACUCUAAGUUGACUGCCGGUGACAAACCGGAGGAAGGUGGGGAUGACGUCAAAUCAUCAUGCCCCUUAUGAUUUGGGCUACACACGUGCUACAAUGGACAAUACAAAGGGCAGCUAAACCGCGAGGUCAUGCAAAUCCCAUAAAGUUGUUCUCAGUUCGGAUUGUAGUCUGCAACUCGACUACAUGAAGCUGGAAUCGCUAGUAAUCGUAGAUCAGCAUGCUACGGUGAAUACGUUCCCGGGUCUUGUACACACCGCCCGUCACACCACGAGAGUCUGUAACACCCGAAGCCGGUGGAGUAACCAUUUAUGGAGCUAGCCGUCGAAGGUGGGACAAAUGAUUGGGGUGAAGUCGUAACAAGGUAGCCGUAUCGGAAG